rnacentral:tRNA from 1 species
CGCCAAGAAGCUAACUAGGUCAUAGCGUUAGCCUUUUAAGCUAAAAAUCGGUGCCUACCAACCACCCUUGGCGA